rnacentral:rRNA from 1 species
UACAGAGGGUGCAAACGUUGCUCGGAAUUAUUGGGCGUAAAGCGCACGUAGGCGGCUUUGCAAGUCGGAUGUGAAAUCCCACGGCUCAACCAUGGAAGUGCAUCCGAAACUGCAGAGCUUGAGUACUUAAGAGGAUCGCGGAAUUCCCGGUGUAGAGGUGAAAUUCGUAGAUAUCGGGAGGAACACCAGUGGCGAAGGCGGCAUCCUGGACCGGCAUUGACGCUGAGGCGCGAAAGCUAGGGGAGCAAACGGG